rnacentral:rRNA from 1 species
UGGGGAAUAUUGGGCAAUGGGCGCAAGCCUGACCCAGCAACGCCGCGUGAAGGAAGAAGGCUUUCGGGUUGUAAACUUCUUUUAAGAGGGAAGAGAAGAAGACGGUACCUCUUGAAUAAGCCACGGCUAACUACGUGCCAGCAGCCGCGGUAAUACGUAGGUGGCAAGCGUUGUCCGGAUUUACUGGGUGUAAAGGGCGUGCAGCCGGGCUGACAAGUCAGAUGUGAAAUCCCGCGGCUCAACCGCGGAACUGCAUUUGAAACUGUCAGUCUUGAGUACCGGAGAGGUCAUCGGAAUUCCUUGUGUAGCGGUGAAAUGCGUAGAUAUAAGGAAGAACACCAGUGGCGAAGGCGGAUGACUGGACGGCAACUGACGGUGAGGCGCGAAAGCGUGGGGAGCAAACAGG